rnacentral:tRNA from 1 species
GGAGAGGUGGCCGAGUGGCUGAAGGCACCGGUUUGCUAAACCGACGUAGGGGAAAGACUCUACCGCGAGUUCGAAUCUCGCCCUCUCCG